UACAGAGGGGGCAAGCGUUGUUCGGAUUUACUGGGCGUAAAGGGCGCGUAGGCGGCCAGCACAAGUCAGUUGUGAAAUCUCCGAGCUUAACUCGGAAAGGUCAACUGAUACUGUGCGGCUAGAGUGCGGAAGGGGCAACUGGAAUUCUUGGUGUAGCGGUGAAAUGCGUAGAUAUCAAGAGGAACACCUGCGGCGAAGGCGGGUUGCUGGGCCGACACUGACGCUGAGGCGCGAAAGCCAGGGGAGCAAACGGG
rnacentral:rRNA from 1 species